rnacentral:rRNA from 1 species
UCCGUAGGCGGUGCGGCAAGUCGGGGUGAAAUCUCUGGGCUUAACUCAGAGGCUGCCUCCGAAACUGCCGUGCUCGAGUGUGGGAGAGGCGAGCGGAAUUGCAGGUGUAGCGGUGAAAUGCGUAGAUAUCUGCAGGAACACCCGUGGCGAAGGCGGCUCGCUGGACCAUUACUGACGCUGAGGGACGAAAGCUAGGGGAGCAAACAGGAUUAGAUACCCUGGUAGUCCUAGCCCUAAACGAUCAGGACUUGGGGUGUCUCCCGUUCGGGAGACGUCCCGGAGCUAACGCGUUAAGUCCUGCGCCUGGGGAGUACGGUCGCAAGACUGAA